UGGGGAAUAUUGCACAAUGGGCGCAAGCCUGAUGCAGCCAUGCCGCGUGUAUGAAGAAGGCCUUCGGGUUGUAAAGUACUUUCAGCGGGGAGGAAGGUGUUGUGGUUAAUAACCACAGCAAUUGACGUUACCCGCAGAAGAAGCACCGGCUAACUCCGUGCCAGCAGCCGCGGUAAUACGGAGGGUGCAAGUGUUAAUCGGAAUUACUGGGCGUAAAGCGCACGCAGGCGGUCUGUCAAGUCGGAUGUGAAAUCCCCGGGCUCAACCUGGGAACUGCAUUCGAAACUGGCAGGCUAGAGUCUUGUAGAGGGGGGUAGAAUUCCAGGUGUAGCGGUGAAAUGCGUAGAGAUCUGGAGGAAUACCGGUGGCGAAGGCGGCCCCCUGGACAAAGACUGACGCUCAGGUGCGAAAGCGUGGGGAGCAAACA
rnacentral:rRNA from 1 species